rnacentral:rRNA from 1 species
AGUGAACGCUGGCGGUAGGCCUAACACAUGCAAGUCGAACGGCAGCACAGUAAGAGCUUGCUCUUACGGGUGGCGAGUGGCGGACGGGUGAGGAAUACAUCGGAAUCUACUUUUUCGUGGGGGAUAACGUAGGGAAACUUACGCUAAUACCGCAUACGACCUACGGGUUAAAGCAGGGGAUCUUCGCACCUUGCGCGAUUGAAUGAGCCGAUGUCGGAUUAGCUAGUUGGCGGGGUAAAGGCCCACCAAGGCGACGAUCCGUAGCUGGUCUGAGAGGAUGAUCAGCCACACUGGAACUGAGACACGGUCCAGACUCCUACGGGAGGCAGCAGUGGGGAAUAUUGGACAAUGGGCGCAAGCCUGAUCCAGCCAUACCGCGUGGGUGAAGAAGGCCUUCGGGUUGUAAAGCCCUUUUGUUGGGAAAGAAAAGCAGCAGGUUAAUACCCCGCUGUUCUGACGGUACCCAAAGAAUAAGCACCGGCUAACUUCGUG